rnacentral:rRNA from 1 species
AUAAUGCAGUCGAGCGAACCACUUCGGUGGUUAGCGGCGGACGGGUGAGUAACACGUGGGCAACCUGCCUGUAAGACUGGGAUAACACCGGGAAACCGGUGCUAAUACCGGAUAAUCCUUUUCCUCACAUGAGGAAAAGCUGAAAGUCGGUUUCGGCUGACACUUACAGAUGGGCCCGCGGCGCAUUAGCUAGUUGGUGAGGUAACGGCUCACCAAGGCGACGAUGCGUAGCCGACCUGAGAGGGUGAUCGGCCACACUGGGACUGAGACACGGCCCAGACUCCUACGGGAGGCAGCAGUAGGGAAUCUUCCACAAUGGACGAAAGUCUGAUGGAGCAACGCCGCGUGAGCGAUGAAGGCCUUCGGGUCGUAAAGCUCUGUUGUUAGGGAAGAACAAGUACCGGAGUAACUGCCGGUACCUUGACGGUACCUAACCAGAAAGCCACGGCUAACUACGUGCCAGCAGCCGCGGUAAUACGUAGGUGGCAAGCGUUGUCCGGAAUUAUUGGGCGUAAAGCGCGCGCAGGCGGUCCUUUAAGUCUGAUGUGAAAGCCCACGGCUCAACCGUGGAGGGUCAUUGGAAACUGGGGGACUUGAGUGCAGAAGAGGAAAGCGGAAUUCCACGUGUAGCGGUGAAAUGCGUAGAGAUGUGGAGGAACACCAGUGGCGAAGGCGGCUUUCUGGUCUGUAACUGACGCUGAGGCGCGAAAGCGUGGGGAGCAAACAGGAUUAG